rnacentral:rRNA from 1 species
AGAGUUUGAUCCUGGCUCAGGACGAACGCUGGCGGCGUGCCUAAUACAUGCAAGUCGAGCGGACAGAUGGGAGCUUGCUCCCUGAUGUUAGCGGCGGACGGGUGAGUAACACGUGGGUAACCUGCCUGUAAGACUGGGAUAACUCCGGGAAACCGGGGCUAAUACCGGAUGGUUGUUUGAACCGCAUGGUUCAGACAUAAAAGGUGGCUUCGGCUACCACUUACAGAUGGACCCGCGGCGCAUUAGCUAGUUGGUGAGGUAACGGCUCACCAAGGCAACGAUGCGUAGCCGACCUGAGAGGGUGAUCGGCCACACUGGGACUGAGACACGGCCCAGACUCCUACGGGAGGCAGCAGUAGGGAAUCUUCCGCAAUGGACGAAAGUCUGACGGAGCAACGCCGCGUGAGUGAUGAAGGUUUUCGGAUCGUAAAGCUCUGUUGUUAGGGAAGAACAAGUGCCGUUCAAAUAGGGCGGCACCUUGACGGUACCUAACCAGAAAGCCACGGCUAACUACGUGCCAGCAGCCGCGGUAAUACGUAGGUGGCAAGCGUUGUCCGGAAUUAUUGGGCGUAAAGGGCUCGCAGGCGGUUUCUUAAGUCUGAUGUGAAAGCCCCCGGCUCAACCGGGGAGGGUCAUUGGAAACUGGGGAACUUGAGUGCAGAAGAGGAGAGUGGAAUUCCACGUGUAGCGGUGAAAUGCGUAGAGAUGUGGAGGAACACCAGUGGCGAAGGCGACUCUCUGGUCUGUAACUGACGCUGAGGAGCGAAAGCGUGGGGAGCGAACAGGAUUAGAUACCCUGGUAGUCCACGCCGUAAACGAUGAGUGCUAAGUGUUAGGGGGUUUCCGCCCCUUAGUGCUGCAGCUAACGCAUUAAGCACUCCGCCUGGGGAGUACGGUCGCAAGACUGAAACUCAAAGGAAUUGACGG